rnacentral:rRNA from 1 species
GACGUAGGGCGCGAGCGUUGUCCGGAUUUAUUGGGCGUAAAGGGCUCGUAGGCGGCCCGCUGCGUCUGCCGUGAAAGGCCUCGGCUUAACCGGGGUUUUGCGGUGGAUACGGGCGGGCUUGAGGCAAGUAGGGGAAACUGGAAUUCUACGUGUAGCGGUGAAAUGCGCAGAUAUGUGGAGGAACACCGGUGGCGAAGGCGGGUUUCUGGGCUUGUUCUGACGCUGAGGAGCGAAAGCGUGGGGAGCGAACAGG